rnacentral:rRNA from 1 species
UACAUAGGGUGCGAGCGUUAAUCGGAAUUACUGGGCGUAAAGCGUGCGCAGGCGGUGAUGUAAGACAGAUGUGAAAUCCCCGGGCUCAACCUGGGAACUGCAUUUGUGACUGCAAGGCUAGAGUACGGCAGAGGGGGAUGGAAUUCCGCGUGUAGCAGUGAAAUGCGUAGAUAUGCGGAGGAACACCGAUGGCGAAGGCAAUCCCCUGGGCCUGUACUGACGCUCAUGCACGAAAGCGUGGGGAGCAAACAGG